AACGCACCUUGCGCUCCUUGGUAUUCCGAGGAGCAUGCCUGUUUGAGUGUCGUGAAAUCAUCAACUCCUUUACUUUAUUGUGAAGUGAGCUUGGAUUUGGAGACUGCUGGUGCAAAUCAGCUUCUCUUGAAUGUAUUAGCUGGAAUUCAGUUUGCAGCAUAUAUGCGGUGUGAUAAUGUCGUCACUGCGUAGCUGGUAUUCUGUCUGGCUUCUAACCGUCCUUUACUUGGACAACUUGAUCAUUCUGACCUCAAAUCAGGUAGGACUACCCGCUGAACUUAA
rnacentral:misc_RNA from 1 species